AGGCGAAACGCGGCACUGGCGCUUUUGUCGUCCAGUGCCUGCGUCGUCGUGGUGUCGGUUUCCACGGCCUGAUGAGCCAGCCGCUC
rnacentral:hammerhead_ribozyme from 1 species